GAUGAACGCUGGCGGCGUGCCUAAUACAUGCAAGUCGAGCGAACAGACGAGGAGCUUGCUCCUCUGACGUUAGCGGCGGACGGGUGAGUAACACGUGGAUAACCUACCUAUAAGACUGGGAUAACUUCGGGAAACCGGAGCUAAUACCGGAUAAUAUAUUGAACCGCAUGGUUCAAUAGUGAAAGACGGUUUUGCUGUUACUUAUAGAUGGAUCCGCGCCGCAUUAGCUAGGUGGUAAGGUAACGGCUUACCAAGGCAACGAUGCGUAGCCGACCUGAGAGGGUGAUCGGCCACACUGGAACUGAGACACGGUCCAGACUCCUACGGGAGGCAGCAGUAGGGAAUCUGCCGCAAUGGGCGAAAGCUUGACGGAGCAACGCCGCGUGAGUGAUGAAGGUCUUCGGAUCGGAAAACUCUGUUAUUAGGGAAGAACAAAUGUGUAAGUAACUAUGCACGUCUUGACGGUACCUAAUCAGAAAGCCACGGCUAACUACGUG
rnacentral:rRNA from 1 species